rnacentral:misc_RNA from 1 species
GAUGAAGAACGUAGCGAAAUGCGAUAAGUAAUGUGAAUUGCAGAAUUCAGUGAAUCAUCGAAUCUUUGAACGCACCUUGCACCCUUUGGCAUUCCGAAGGGUAUGCUCGUUUGAGUGUCAUUGUACUCUCACACUUCCAAUCUUUGGAUUGGGAGCAGUGGACUUGGGUGUUGCUGCUUACUGUGGCUCACCUCAAAUCGAUUCGUGCACCUCUUGGUUGGACAUAGUACGGCGUGAUAAGUGUCUUCGCCGGCACCUCAGUAGAGGGUGGCUGAUCAGGAGCUCUGUGCUUCAAACCGUCCUCGGACAACAACUGACAACUUGACCUCAAAUCGAGUAGGACUACCCGCUGAACUUAAGCAUAUCAAUAAGCGGAGGAA